AUCGCUUCUCAGCCUUUUGGCUAAGAUCAACUGCAGUAUCAGUUCUUAUCAGUUUAACAUCUGAUAUGUCCCUUAUCUGGGGACCAUAUAUUAAAUUUAUUUUUGGAAAAGAGAGAUGGAAUAGGGGCUUUCUUUGCCCACUCCAUGCAUUGAGCUGGUAUUGCAGUACUUCCAUUAUUUGCAUGCAAA